UAAUGUAUGGGGAUCUGCCCGAUAGGAGGGGAUAACUACUGGAAACGGUGGCUAAUACCGCAUAAUGUCUACGGACCAAAGCAGGGGCUCUUCGGACCUUGCACUAUCGGAUGAACCCAUAUGGGAUUAGCUAGUAGGUGGGGUAAAGGCUCACCUAGGCGACGAUCUCUAGCUGGUCUGAGAGGAUGAUCAGCCACACUGGGACUGAGACACGGCCCAG
rnacentral:rRNA from 1 species